GCCGACGUAGCUCAAUGGCCUAGAGCAGCCGGUUUGUAACCGGCAGGACGCGGGUUCGAUUCCCGCCGUCGGCU
rnacentral:tRNA from 1 species